GGUGGUAAUAUAGCCCUUUAGUUUUGAGGUUGGUGUACUGUGUGUGAUAAAUAUAUUAUAUAUAAUACAUAUAUAUAUAUAUACAUACACAUAUAUACACUAUCCUUGAAAGUGAGGAAGCACAUC
rnacentral:pre_miRNA from 1 species